rnacentral:tRNA from 2 species
GCGGGCGUAGCUCAGUUGGUAGAGCGACAGCUUCCCAAGCUGUAGGUCGUGGGUUCGAGACCCAUCGCCCGCU